rnacentral:rRNA from 1 species
AUUGAACGCUGGCGGCAGGCCUAACACAUGCAAGUCGAGCGGAUGAAGGGAGCUUGCUCCUGGAUUCAGCGGCGGACGGGUGAGUAAUGCCUAGGAAUCUGCCUGGUAGUGGGGGAUAACGUCCGGAAACGGGCGCUAAUACCGCAUACGUCCUGAGGGAGAAAGUGGGGGAUCUUCGGACCUCACGCUAUCAGAUGAGCCUAGGUCGGAUUAGCUAGUUGGUGGGGUAAAGGCCUACCAAGGCGACGAUCCGUAACUGGUCUGAGAGGAUGAUCAGUCACACUGGAACUGAGACACGGUCCUGACUCCUACGGGAGGCAGCAGUGGGGAAUAUUGGACAAUGGGCGAAAGCCUGAUCCAGCCAUGCCGCGUGUGUGAAGAAGGUCUUCGGAUUGUAAAGCACUUUAAGUUGGGAGGAAGGGCAGUAAGUUAAUACCUUGCUGUUUGGACGUUACCAACAGAAUAAGCACCGGCUAACUUCGU